rnacentral:rRNA from 1 species
UACAGAGGGUGCGAGCGUUAAUCGGAAUUACUGGGCGUAAAGCGUGCGUAGACGGUUAUGUAAGUCGGGUGUGAAAGCCCCGGGCUCAACCUGGGAAUUGCAUUCGAGACUGCAUAGCUAGGGUGCGGAAGAGGGAGGCGGAAUUUCCGGUGUAGCGGUGAAAUGCGUAGAUAUCGGAAGGAACACCAGUGGCGAAGGCGGCUUCCUGGGCCAGCACCGACGUUCAGGCACGAAAGCGUGGGGAGCAAUCAGG